AGUCAGGGGUCGCGUCAUACGGCUGCUAUUCCCAAUGAUGUGGUGGACAACAAAGAUUAGCAGAGCAACAGCAAGGUUGGUUUUCUUGGCACCAUUCUGAGUAAACUUUUGAUCCCAGAGGAUCAGCAGUCUCAGAAAUACUCAAACCAGCCCAUCUGGCACCAACAAUCAUGCCACAGUCAAAGUCACUGAGAUCACAUUUUUUCUGAUCACACCAUUCUGGUGUUUGAUGUGAACAUUAAAUGUUCUGUAAAUGAGAUUUCAAAAAGCAAUAUAGCAGCAAACAACUAUUUUCUAUUACUACUAUUAUGUAAAGAUAAAUGGCGUCUUGAGCUGAUCACUAAGUCACACCCCCUUUAUAAAUGUUUUAAUCUUAGUUUCUCUUUCUUUGUUUUGGUAGCUGGUCAGGUAACAUGCACCUUUUGACCCUCCCCACUUCAGAAACACACAGGGAGUCACGUCCAAAAUUUCCACAACUGAAGAAAUCACGCUUUCAUAAAAAAAAAAAAAAGGCCUCUGACAAAGAGAGAGAUGAUACUGGGCACAGGCAGAUGUGCCACGGGGACUACUGGCUCAAAUCCCAGUCGGCCGGUGGGCCAUCAAAGCAUCCGUUAAGUUUUAAAAGUUUUUAUCUGUGUCACAUCAGUGUCUUUAUCUGCUCAGUCAGUGUCAGUCCUGCGGUCCCAGCAGAUAAUUCCAAGGCUGAAUUUUAGUCCGGGUCCGACCGUGGAACCAGUAGGCUACUGGUCUGGCUUUACCAAGAUGGAAAGACCCACAAGUUGCUAAUGGGCUCCAGCUUGACGCAGAACUGGCUUUUCUUCCCCUCAAUGUAGUAAUUCUAUCACCCUCAAAACGCAGGCAGAGGCAGACAGCAGUAAGGAGGACAUCCACAGAUAAAUCCAUUUCAAGUGUACUUUGAAUCUAAUUUAUGAUGGUCACCUGCUCACAGGAUGUCAACACAGAAAUUGUGUUCGCUGCAUACUUCAUAAACAGAGAAAUGGAAAGAAAAACAAAGGUCAUAUAGUGCCCCUGGUGGAAGGUCAGUGUGACUGGUAGGCAGCUACAGAGGGCCAAUACUGCCACCUGAAGGAAAAGAGUGCACCUCCUAUUCUUUAUCUCCCAUGUUAACAGUGUUUAAAUGUAGCUGUAGAACCAUUUGCAGUGUGUAAUGUAUUGGAAACAAUUUAAAAUCACAUUUUAAUGAUUGAGUACAAUGUCUUGAUUAAAUGGGGCAAAUAUAACAAAACACUCAGACACUCAGACAAGAAACAAAUAUGCUCAAUGCAAGCAACCUCUUUGAGUAACUGCUCGAUGAUAAUAUAACAAACUAUUUGCAAUCUGUGGAUAUUAAACUUAGUAGCCCGUCUUACGAUCUUAUUCAAACAAGGGUGGUUAAUGCAUUAAGGUCCUGCAUCUUAGCCAAUGUAUGAAAGAGAAAACAGUCAAGUAAAAUGUAAAGUACCACACAAUGUACUGCACAAUGCAUGCAUUGGAAACACAAUUUGUUAGAAGACGCACAGACUUAAGUGAAAGGAAAUGUCGUGUGUAUGUGCUCAUCAUGACACCCCAUACUACGCCUUCUGCAGGUUCAUUAUUAUGUCUUUUAAAAAGAGAUCAUUUCUCACUAAAUAUGGGAUCAGACGUUAAAUGAGAAUGGUGCUGACCAAAAGGUCAGAGUGAGCAAUGCUGUGCCAUUCACUACCAUCUGUCCUUGAGGUGCCAUUGAGCAAGGCUUUUAAACCCCAGAUUCACCAGUAGAGCUACUUAGUGCGCUGUGCGCCUCUCCAAAUGACCAUGUAUGCAACUGUGUCAGUGUGAUGCAGACAACUGCUAAAAUAGAACACGCGUCCCAAAAUAGCACAAUACUUACAUAUAUUUGUGGCUGUGAGUGGGUAUUAAGUGAGUACCUUGAUUUCCACAGCCCUCAUUUGCUAUGAUGGGGAGACAUGAAGAAAGAGAGGCAGACAAAUAGAGAGGAAUAGAAGGAUCUACCAUAAAUGCAGACUGUGAUCUGUGAAGGAUGAAUGAAGGUAAUGUGUACAUGUUGGAGGUUUUUAUUUCAUACUAAAGCCAUCAGCGCCUCUCUGUGGUCAAACAGCCGUACAGCAGCAGAAAGGUUGACUUUUAAACACUGCAUUCGACAACACCGUUUGUAAAAGACCGUGCUGAACUGACAAUCAGCACAAAACUAAAUAAAGUAAAAUGGCUACAGCA